GAAAUGCGAUAAGUAAUGUGAAUUGCAGAAUUCAGUGAAUCAUCGAAUCUUUGAACGCACCUUGCGCCCUUUGGCUAUUCCGAAGGGCAUGCCUGUUUGAGUAUCAUGAACACCUCAACUCUCGUGGUUUGCUACGAUGAGCUUGGACUUUGGGGGUCUUGCUGGCCUGUGGUCGGCUCCUCUCAAAUGAAUCAGCUUCCCAGUGUUUGGUGGCGUCGCAGGUGUGAUAACUAUCUACGCUUGCGGUUUUCCACCAGAUAACCUUCAGUGAUGGAGGUUCGCUGGGGCUCAUAAACGUCUUUCCUCAGUGAAGACAGCUUUUUGAACGUUUGAUCUCAAAUCAGGUAGGACUACCCGCUGAACUUAA
rnacentral:misc_RNA from 1 species